rnacentral:lncRNA from 1 species
AGUAGGUUGUUUUCAUCAAUCUCCCUCUCAUUCUGAGAUCUGUUUGAUUGAGAAUAGGGAGGGAUGCUGUAAUACUAUGGACUUGGCUUAUUUUCCAAGAACACGGCCCACAUGGAGCUUACAGGAAAGGUUUGAAGAGUUAUGACUUGGAAACAUAAUUCUGAUAGCUGAGUAUAUAAAUAUAAUAUCUGUAAUAAAGACUUUCCCUUAGUGGCAAAUGACAAUUCAGUUAUAUUGGAAUUACAUCAGUUUCCAUUACUUCGAGCGUGACUUCUGCUGUUCGGUGAACGCUGUAGCAACACAAAGAUAUGACAAUGCCUGUGUCUUUUAACAUGGAAAUCAUACCUCAGCUUUACAGAAUCACAGAAGAGUUGAGGUAGGAAGGCAUCUCUGGAGAUCAUCUAGUCCAAAGCCCCUGCUCAAAACAGGCAGCUACAGCAGGUUCUUCAGGACCAUAUCCAGAUGUGUUGUGAGCUGUUCUCAGGAACGGAGACUCCCAAACCUCUCUGGGCCAUCUCUUCCAUGCUUAACAACUCUCAUGGUCCGUGGAACUCAUGAUGACUCAGACAGGGUGACAGGAGUCACAUUCAGAGAGAUGUACCAGGGCAGAAGCACUGCAAGUUACUUCUGCUUCUACAGCAAAUUCUGAGCUGGUUCUCAGCUGUGUCUGUAAUAACUGCUAGCGUACCUUACCUACACAGUAUCUAUUUGAAAUUCUGUGCUUCAGUUUCAGUUUUUGCAACAAGCAGUAACCUACACAAAUGAACCAUAUUAUGAGGCCUUCCAAUUCCUCGCGCUCAAAAGCACAUCUUCAUGCUUUUUGCUUUUGUGUUUCUUUUGGUAUCACAUAUGGCAGCAAAGUUGACAUCAAUUAGAAUGUAUUUUAAAGAAGAGGUCUGAUGCGUUUGUAAAAU